rnacentral:rRNA from 1 species
AUUGAACGCUGGCGGCAUGCUUUACACAUGCAAGUCGAACGGUAACAGGCCUUCGGGUGCUGACGAGUGGCGAACGGGUGAGUAAUGCAUCGGAACGUACCCAGAGGUGGGGGAUAACGCAGCGAAAGCUGUGCUAAUACUGCAUGUGAUCUGAGGAUGAAAGCGGGGGACCGAGCAGCAAUGUUUGGCCUCGCGCCUUUGGAGCGGCCGAUGUCGGAUUAGCUAGUUGGUGGGGUAAAGGCCUACCAAGGCGACGAUCCGUAGCUGGUCUGAGAGGACGAACAGCCACACUGGGACUGAGACACGGCCCAGACUCCUACGGGAGGCAGCAGUGGGGAAUUUUGGACAAUGGGCGCAAGCCUGAUCCAGCAAUGCCGCGUGCGGGAAGAAGGCCUUCGGGUUGUAAACCGCUUUUGGCAGGAACGAAACGGUGUCCGCUAAUACCGGGCGCUAAUGACGGUACCUGCAGAAUAAGCACCGGCUAACUACGUG